AAGUCGUAACAAGGUAACCGUAGGUGAACCUGCGGUUGGAUCAUUACCAAUGAGAUGGACGGUGGCGAGUUCCCUCUCGAGGUUGAGCUCGGCACUGGCCACAAACCACUUGUGCACUUGAUGUAUUUUGGAGGUUGCUUGCGACUCCAGCUGUGAACCACUGAACCUUUGACUAAGUAUGAGAUAAAGAGAAACAACUUUUGACAACGGAUCUCUUGGCUCUU
rnacentral:misc_RNA from 1 species